GACGGAGGGGGCAAGCGUUGUCCGGACUCACUGGGCGUAAAGCGCACGUAGGCGGUUGGGUGCGUCGCUGCUGAAAGCGCCAGGCUUAACCUGGCGAGGCGUGGCGAUACGACCCGACUUGAGGCAGGCAGAGGGUGGCGGAAUUCCGGGUGUAGUGGUGAAAUGCGUAGAGAUCCGGAGGAACGCCUGUGGCGGCAAGCGGCCACCUGGGCCUGACCUGACGCUGGAGGUGACCGAAAAGCGUGGGGGAGCGAACCGG
rnacentral:rRNA from 1 species